rnacentral:rRNA from 1 species
GAUGAACGCUGGCGGCGUGCCUAAUACAUGCAAGUCGAGCGAACGGACGAGAAGCUUGCUUCUCUGAUGUUAGCGGCGGACGGGUGGGUAACACGUGGAUAACCUACCUAUAAGACUGGGAUAACUUCGGGAAACCGGAGCUAAUACCGGAUAAUAUUUUUAACCGCAUGGUUCAAAAGUGAAAGACGGUCUUGCUGUCACUUAUAGAUGGAUCCGCGCUGCAUUAGCUAGUUGGUAAGGUAACGGCUUACCAAGGCAACGAUGCAUAGCCGACCUGAGAGGGUGAUCGGCCACACUGGAACUGAGACACGGUCCAGACUCCUACGGGAGGCAGCAGUAGGGAAUCUUCCGCAAUGGGCGAAAGCCUGACGGAGCAACGCCGCGUGAGUGAUGAAGGUCUUCGGAUCGUAAAACUCUGUUAUUAGGGAAGAACAUAUGUGUAAGUAACUGUGCACAUCUUGACGGUACCUAAUCAGAAAGCCACGGCUAACUACGUG